UUUUACAUAUAUAAAAUGACUUCUAAAAGCACAGAGUUUUAUUUCACCAACUUCUCCCUUCCAUUGUUAACCACUCAUAGCUGCCACCUACUCAACAAUAAUAAUGAAAAGAAAUAAUCUCUUUAGUAGAAAAAGGUAAUUACUAAGCAGGAUGUACACUGCUCCGAAAAGCUACCAGGGUUUUCUAAUGAUAAAUCCAGUCCCCACCUGCCCCUGAUUUCAGUGGGAUGUGCUCUUUCAGCCUUGACGGUGGGCAUGRAGGUGUCCUUUGCAUCCUGACACAAUGGCCUUGGCUGGAGCAUCAGCAUUCCUGGGAAGCGCCCCGCUGAGUACCAUGAGGGUUUUCAAGAAGAGGCGGCCAGGGCUGCAGACAAAGCGCAGCAGUGUUGAAGUGAAUCUUCCCAGGGAUGCUGGGAUGUGCAGCACUCCUGGGUUUCUUCGACAACAGCAACACGAGCCCUUGUGCUGUAUUCCCCAGGCUUUCUCCGAGACGUCUACCAGCUACACCCUUCCUCCCCGCCCGCAAUUAGCACUUACAGUGUUGCAAAGGGAGAUGCGAUUCGCUCUCGCUGUCCUCCUUCAGAACUUGCUCACACCUUCCCCACUGGGUGGGAACAUGUGCUGUGGGUUAGGAAAUAUUCUCGUAGUGGAAUUACAUUUGCAGCAAUCCUACCCCCCGCCUACUGUUUGCUUCUGACUAUCAGACUCGGCUGCUCGUGGUGGUGAAGGAGCACGUGAACAUGAGAGCUCAGACUCAAAUCUCUCUGACUCUCCUCAUUCCCCCCGGAGUUGCGUACGCACAAAUUGGGCCCAGUUUGUUUCAUCCAGGGUAACUGGAGCUKGGUAAGUGCCUGCAAUUUUGGAACAGUGGGGUGAGGAGAGAAGUGGGAGUGUAUGACCGUUGACAUUAAUUAGAGGAGAUAAAAAUGUCGAAACAUGACUCCUUAGAAAACCAAGGAAGGCCUCUAUUGUCGAGUGUUUCCACAUGGAUGCCACUGAGAAGAGGUCAAGUGCUUUCUAUAUACUUUAAGUAAACAGCAGAUUGUGAGUUCACAGUCUGGACUGGAUUUGAGCAGCCUCUGUGUUCUGCAAGAUCAUAAUUGAGUCCUAUGUACUUAAGAUCUGAUAUCCACCGACAUUAUUACUUGACAGUGCCAGGAAAUACAGCCGCAAUUAAGAGUUAUAAAGUUUGCAAGUGAAACUGYCCCAUGUCACAGAUGGUUCACCCUGUGCUAGAAUUAUCUCAGGCUCCUGCUCUGAAGGAGCAGCAAGAAGGGACUUUUGUGAAAAAGAGUCUGUGCUGUUGGCUUUCUGUGAUAAAGACAUGCCUCCUCACAUCAUCAUUGUCACAUAAAAAAUGCACAAAGCCUGCAAAAUUAAAUCUGCUAAAUGAGCAGUGGGUUAUAUGUCAAGAACAGAGUGCUCCGAAUCAGGCAGUUUAUUUACAUGCUACUGGGAAGCACAUCAAGCCAAGUUAAAAUGUUAUGCAUAAAAUUCUUCUGUUCAUGUUUGCAGUUAUCCAGACUGAAGGUUAAGAAGACUGAAUGUGAUACAUUUGCCCCAAAACGAGCUCCAUUUCCUUACCUGGAGGUGGGAUGGCACUGAAAUCAUAAAUGACAGCUGUAUUUCGUGUAUGCAGGUUCAGCUCUAGUGUCACUGCCAGCAGUUAUGGUAUUACCAGGUAGCAGCAGCUUUCAUCUCAGGUGCUCCACAUCUCUUCUGUACCCUGGAGACUCCUUGCCCUUUAAAGGUCUUGUUUGCAGACAGGGAAACUGAGUCAAAGAGCAUUGAUCAGAAUCCCCAGAAAUCAGUGGCAGACCAUCCAGAGCCCCAGCAGAUCUAACAACUUCUCCAGCUGUUACAAGCAGGAAGAAAAGGCAGGAGUGCUCUUAAGGGCAUAACUUAUCUGAAAAUGAUGAUGAAUCACUGGAAAUCUUCCCGUCCAUUCAGUGGGCUUCACAUGAUGAUUUCUAGUAGUCAGGACCCAAAUUAUUUAGGGUGCAUUGCUGGGAGGAGGGAAUGAGCCAUGUAACUUGGGAAGCUCAGUCUUGAAGAGUCCUUUUGGAAAUGAAGCUGUAAAGCUUUAUAUACACCUGAAGCAAAAAGUCUUUCUCUCCCUGUCUGCAUCUGCCUGUGAAAAUAAAAAAGAAAGGACAGCCCAUUUGUGGAUGUUUUCUUGCUGCAACUCUGAAUUGGAAAUAUCUGUCUUUGAUUAAAGUGGGACAUACAAUUGCACAAGUCAUUAAUUAUUACUGAUWAACCGAAGUAGUGAUGGAGACCAAUACAAAUCUCCUGCCACAACAAUGGGAAUCGGGAAAUAAAGACAGACCUGGUUGCCUGCAGCCUAUUUACAUUUCCUUUUUUUGGGUGAAAUAUAUGCAUGAAUUGCUGGGACUCCAAGCCCUGCCUGUCCUUGGAGCACACGAUGUCUGUAGAUCCAGAUCCAGAGACCUGAACUUUAUCCACACAGACGGCGAAAAGCAGCAGCUCACAGUGCCUGUGACACGUGACCAGUCCCAAUUAUGGCUCCUUCCACAUGACAUCAGUAUGCAAUGGAGGAUCUCACUGUUUUUUUCGCCAGAGGCAAAUGAAUACAUUAUCCAGCAGCGAGGCGUGGGGCAGGCGGAUGYGUAACUCUGGGGUGAUUUGGAUUCCACGCUCGCGUGGGGGUGUGAGCCAACCUCAGAAGUCAUUUUCACUGAUGCUGACACAUAAGGCUUCCCUCAGAGACCUGUCUAUCAAACUGCAACAUGCUAUGCAGAAAAAUUAGAUUACUCAUGCUACAAUAAAGAAGGAGAAGAUGACAAUCAUUAAAAAAAAAAAGGACUUCAAAAUAUAACAGCUAUUUAUUAAAUUAAUAAAAAUCCUGACAACUGGAAAGUAUCCUAGAGACUUUAAAAAAAAAAUGUUUUACCUCUUGCAACUCAUAUCAAGGAGAGCUAGCUGGAAAUACCGUAUUAAUUCAAAUGGUGCCUCUGAAAAAACCACCACUUUAUCAUGAUUGUCACAUUACUGUACUUGUGAAAUAYCAUCUUAAAUAGUCAUUAUGAUUUUGCUGCUGGUUUUGCUGCAGUCAGCAGUAGUAUUUCCUUUGGCUUUGGUAAAAGCAGGAUCAGGCCCCCCUGCUCUCUCACUCUCUCUCUCUCUUUCUCUCUGAAUUGCAAAUGGGUUGUUCAUGUGUCAGCACAGUAACCAGGCAAAGUUCACUGUGCUCAGUUCAAAGCAGCAAGUUGAAGCUCAGGGCAUUUUCUUCAUAGUAUUUGCCGAGUUCCUCAGGUCUACAAACGUGUUAAAGUGGUUUAAUACUAAAUCCGUAAAACAAACAUAAUGCAGCUACGUUUGAACCCUUGUCCAAUAAAAUCCAUUUUUUUUUGGAAAAAAAUACAAAGUAGUAAAACAUACUUAGUAAAGAAAAGAAAAGGCUAUGUGAAGCUUAGUAAAAUCCUAUAAAUCAGGAUGUUGGGCAGCUUCAGGAAGGGUGAUUUAAAAUAAAUCUGCAGAAGAACACACAAACAGAGACAGGCACACAAUCCAUAGCUGGAAAUGGAUCUGGACCAGUGCCGAGGUUAGAACAUCCCAGACAGCACUGCAGGACUCGUUUUACAAUAUCAGAUAAUGGAAAGGUUUGGCCAAAUGCUGAUUUUUCUUCCCUAGUAAUAACAAACCUGUGCUGGGGCUUCUGCAGUAUUUGUUCCUUGAGUUAUCUCCCAGGAAUGCUAUUUGGGAAAGCUCAUUGAGUUUUUUAACUCCACUUGCCCUGAAUUACAUUAUGGCUGCACUUCCUGCAGCCACAAAUUUUGUUUUACCUAUUGUUACCCUUUUUGAGGGAGUCCGUUGUUGUAUGCUGGCUUGACUUGUGGGGUAGCUUCAGCUGUGGGGUUUACUUUCUUGUCUUUGGUGUCUCUUCCAGAUAUWUCUUCCCAAAGAUGAGUUUUGGUUYCCAUCCAAGCCUGAAGUGGGGAACCAYGAGCUCUCCUGUGGCCCUGCCUCUYGCACGGCCUCACUGUAACUCAUGGCCUGUGGACCAGAGCAAAGGGAUKCAGGGCUGCCUUUUCCUGCUCCUUUUCCAGCAGUGUGAACUGAUCAGCAGAUCAACCCCAUUCCACCCUUCACCUUGCUGAGGAGUUUUCUGGGGCUUCGGCUUCUUGAUAUAGACAGGCGAUUUCAACAUGACCACACAGAGGGGAAACACAUGGAAUUAUAGGCCUCCUUAAAAUUGUCAGGAGCAAAUAUGAUCAGAUCUGGUUCUUGAUCUCAUUACUGUCUAAAAGAUUUGGCUGGCAUUUUUAAAUGCCAUGAUUUAUGUUCUUCACCUUAACACGGCCCUCGGUGGUGUAAACCGAGUAACUCUAUUAUUCUCCAGGGCAACUCUAUAGAAUCCAAUUGGAGAAUUUUCACAACACUGUGUCUAUAAGAAAAUAUUAACAUGGAUUAAGACAAGUUGAUAGAUUUUAAACCAGGCUAUGCAAUGAGAACCUGCGAGAAUAAAUCAAACAACUUUGCCUAACUACAAAAAGUAUUUGUAAAGCCCUGUAAGGUUUCCAUUUCCUAAAGCCACCUGCCAUCUCAAAUGCCCCUAAUCAGUCACAGAUGCUGGAUACCAACCUGCUAACCCUACGGCUUUGAGAGAAAAUAUUGCACUUUGUAAACUCAUUCUUGGGUAUUUCCUUAAUUUUUCUUAAAYUAAACUUUCAUCCCUUAUUUUCCACUUAAAUGUAAUGAGUUAAAUCAACUCUGACAUUUCGCCCUGCUUACCCUCACAGUUCUGUUUAGCUGUUUUCCUAUCUCCUUCAUGAAAAGCCUGAAGACCUCAGCUUUGGGGUGUUUUUUUUUAUUUUUUUUUAAUCAUUAUAGUAUUUUUUUUUUGCUCUUCAUCUCAUGAUUACCCUCCUGGUGUUGAGCAGUCCUAUUGAAUGSAGAGUUAUGACUGUUUCUCUAAUUCACUGCCAAUGGAAAAAUGAAUGUUUUUCUGUUCUUAUGGUUAUCUCAUGAUGAAGAUGUACCAAACACUGAGCUUUUCUGAAGUACUGAGAAACAUCUUUUAACCUGAAAAAAAAUUAUAAAAAAAGCCCAAAGCACAUGACCAAAGAAGUCUACUCCUGAAAAAAGAAGAGACAUUUUAGAGGCUUCAUCCAGCACCCAAUGGAAUCAAAGUAAAGAAUUUCAGAGAUUAGGGAAGGUACCAAAACAGGCCCUGGUGCCAAAUACUGUUAGAGGCYGUUCAGCUGCACUGGGGGAUGGAUGGCUUGGCUCUGGAAGGAGCCAUUAUUCCACUUUAGCUCGUGAGGACAGGCUGRGAGUGGGAGUUGUAAUGGAGGUAGGAAGCAGACUGGAUUUUAUUAGUCUUCCAUCAUCUUUAAGAGACCCCUAAGCAGAUCAGGUUUCAGCCUGUCCCUCCACUCCUGUGUCAGCUGUUGGUUCUGUUUUUGCUGGAGGAUAAGUUUCAUUAUAUUAAUAAGCAGCACAAGUGGUUCCAAUUGUGGAAGAACCACUCUGAGCUGUCAGAAAUGAUCAGAGGAGAAGUUUCAGCCUUUCCAUGAUCACAGCCUCUUCUUCKGGUGCCUCAACUCAGCACUUCCCCUGUGCGCUUCACAUUUUUAGCAGCCCCGACAACAAUAAAAAGUACUUUUACAUUUCAGUAAGGGGAGGUUAUUUUAAGGAAUUUUAUUCCCUGAUCAUGGGAGUACAUCAGUGCUCGGAAACCAGAUGCUAAUGGGAAUAAUUGGGCUAACAUCCAGUCUACUGCCUGGGAGACUAGAUCUAGACACACACACUUAAAUGAAACUAUACAUCUUCAGUCACAUUCCAAACACAAACAUCUUUAAUCAUGCCACUAAGCCAGUAGGUUUGCAUUUCUUAUUACUCAUGAAGAGAUAGUGAGAAAAACCUCACAGCAAAACACUCCAAAAUCUGGAACUGUUGGAUCCCUAUCUGAGAGUGAUCCRUGAAUGCUCACCAGCAAUAACACUCAGAAUUUGUCUCCCCCACAUCAUCCACUUGAAGGAAAGGGUUUUACAUGGACAAAGUAAGAAUCCUUACAAGGAUGGAAAUAUUACUAGAUCAAUUGUGCAGAUAGAAAAAUGAGGCACAGAAAGUUUUAAAUACCUCUGAGUUCAACCAGCAAGCCAGUCAAGAGUAGGGUCUGACACACAAUGCUGUGCUUCAAUCACUGGCAGAAAACAGAAAGACAGGUACCCAUGGAACASGAAUUUUACACAGAACAUCAAUCCUCAUGCUGUGCCCACUGAAGCUGCUGGUUGUGCAGGAGCACAUCUCCACCAGCACCCACCCCCCAGGAUGCAGGACUGGGGUUUGGGUUCAUGGAUUUACCACCCAAGCAAUGAGAACUGCACUUCCUUCCGACAGGUUCCCACACCGCCCUGAGAAGAACUGAGCGAAGUUUAGUUUUCAAAUUAGACUCACCCAGGACUAGUCACUGAAAUCUCAUCUGUAUUGUGGAAGAAAAAAAAAAAAAAAAAAAAAGAGGGGAGAAAUGUAAAAGGAAAUCUUUGUAGCCAGGACUACCUGACUCUCCCGCAGUAGGAGACGCAGAAAUACUGUUUCAUGUCAUGGAGAUGUAGUUAAAAUGCAGACGGCAUAUCCUUGUUCUCAGAAUCUGAGAGGUGUGGUUUGUGCAUGUGGACAAGCCAUCGUGCCUCCCUUUGAUCUAUCACUUGAUGUAGAGGAAGGCUUUUAUGUGUUAGUCCCAUAUAAUGGAUAAUUUAGUCUGAAACCAUUAUGAAAAAUGUUACAUUUUGGGUACAUAUGCUUCAAUUAUUCUUGAAAGUACACAGGAAUAUUUUAUGACAUGCACACAGAUUUCAAGUAAAAAAAAAAAAAGAAAAAAAGAAAAUAAAACUAGAAUUUUUGUUUGCCAUCCAAACAAAUUUGUUCUUCUGAGGCAAGUUUACAUGCAUUUUAAAAAAAAUUCUACCAUUUUAUGGUUUUUUUAAAGGUAGAUUGUAAACAAUGUGUUUAAUAUGGAAUGUAACAGAACCCUCUUUCAUUAAAAUUACCAAUGGUCAAAGAAUCAUAGGAUCAUAGAAUGGUUUGGGUUGGAAGAGACCUUAAAGAUCAUGUAUUUCCAACCCCCUGCCAUGGGCAGGGACACCUUCCAGGCUGCUCCAAGCCCCGUCCAACCUGGCCUUGGACACUUCCAGGGAUGGGGCAGCUGCAGCUUCUCUGGGCAACCUGUGCCAGGGCUCACCACCCUCACAGGGAAAGAUUUCUUCCCAAUAUCCCAUUGAACCCUGUCCCUGGCUGAAGUCUCUAAUCCCGUCCCUCUUUUAGAAACACAGUGGGCCAGAAGAAAGCCUGACAGAGAUACCCAWAAAUCCAUGGAGUGCUGAUACGACAGGAGACACUGUGACAGUGGGCAGGGCUGGAUUAUCCCCUUUCCCCAUAGGAAUAGUCUGUCCUAGCUGGGCAUUUUAAGAAGGAUUUUUGAAAGAGGAGGGUCUCCUUGUUUGUUUUCUUCUCCAGACACGUUUGCGAUGACAGAUCCUGGAGAUCUCAGCAGCUGGACACCAGUCAGGGGUGAAUGCUGACAACAUUGUCACUGACGGCCUCCUGCAGGUCACUAUGCCUUUGUGCCCAUUUCCCUAUUUCUACAUGAAGUAUCCCCRUAUAAGGGGUCGGUGCAGCUCACCUGAGGAUUGGACAGUGCAGAGCUCCRGCCAAAAUUUAGUCCUGCAGCCAAGACUGAAAAGGCCACUGCAAGAGGAGAUCUUAUAUUUAUC